CCUACGGGAGGCAGCAGUGGGGAAUAUUGCACAAUGGGGGAAACCCUGAUGCAGCGACGCCGCGUGAGUGAAGAAGUAAUUCGUUAUGUAAAGCUCUAUCAGCAGGGAAGAAAAUGACGGUACCUGAGUAAGAAGCCCCUGCUAACUACGUGCCAGCAGCCGCGGUAAUACGUAGGGGGCAAGCGUUAUCCGGAUUUACUGGGUGUAACGGGAGCGUAGACGGCAGUGCAAGUCUGGAGUGAAAGGCGGGGGCUCAACCCCCGGACUGCUCUGGAAACUGUACGGCUGGAGUGCAGGAGAGGUGAGUGGAAUUCGUGGUGUAGCGGUGAAAUGCGUAGAUAUUAGGAGGAACAACAGUGGCGAAGGCGGCUUACUGGACUGUAACUGACGUUGAGGCUCGAAAGCGUGGGGAGCAAACAGGAUUAGAUACCCGAGUAGUC
rnacentral:rRNA from 1 species